rnacentral:rRNA from 1 species
UACGAAGGGGGGCUAGCGUUGCUCGGAAUUACUGGGCGUAAAGCGCGCGUAGGCGGAUCGUUAAGUCGGGGGUGAAAUCCUGGAGCUCAACUCCAGAACUGCCUUUGAUACUGGCGAUCUUGAGUCCGGGAGAGGUGAGUGGAACUCCGAGUGUAGAGGUGAAAUUCGUAGAUAUUCGGAGGAACACCAGUGGCGAAGGCGGCUCACUGGCUCGGUACUGACGCUGAGGUGCGAAAGCGUGGGGAGCAAACAGG